AUCAGCAGCUAUAUCACCCUGCAACUCACAACUGGCAGCCCACUGAAGCUAAGCAGGUGUGAGCCUGGUCAGUACCUGGAUGGGAGACCUCCUGGGAAAAACUAAGGUUGCUGCUAGAA
rnacentral:rRNA from 1 species